rnacentral:rRNA from 1 species
UACGGAGGGAGCUAGCGUUGUUCGGAAUUACUGGGCGUAAAGCGCGCGUAGGCGGCUUUGUAAGUUAGAGGUGAAAGCCCGGAGCUCAACUCCGGAACUGCCUUUAAAACUGCAUCGCUUGAAUCCGGGAGAGGUGAGUGGAAUUCCGAGUGUAGAGGUGAAAUUCGUAGAUAUUCGGAAGAACACCAGUGGCGAAGGCGACUCACUGGCCCGAUACUGACGCUCAUGCACGAAAGCGUGGGGAGCAAACAGG